UACAGAGGUCUCAAGCGUUGUUCGGAUUCAUUGGGCGUAAAGGGUGCGUAGGUGGCGUCGUAAGUCAGGUGUGAAAUCUCGGGGCUCAACCCCGAAACUGCACUUGAUACUGCGAUGCUCGAGUACUGGAGAGGAGAUUGGAAUUUACGGUGUAGCAGUGAAAUGCGUAGAUAUCGUAAGGAAGACCAGUGGCGAAGGCGGGUCUCUGGACAGUUCCUGACACUGAGGCACGAAGGCCAGGGGAGCAAACGGG
rnacentral:rRNA from 1 species